AAUGAACGUUGGCGGCGUGGAUUAGGCAUGCAAGUCGAGCGAGAACCCGCAAGGGGGACAGCGGCGAACGGGGUAGGACAAUCUAGGUAACGUACCCUCGGGGCGAGGACAGCCACGGGAAACUGUGGGUAAUACUCGAUAAACUUCCCAAUCAUUAUGGAAGGGGAAGCAAUGGGUGUGAUUCCACCUGAGGAGCGGCUUAGACAGUAUCAGCUUGUUGGUGAGGUAACGGCUCACCAAGGCUACGACGCUUAGGGGGGUGUGAGAGCAUGGCCCCCCACCACUGGCACUGAGACACUGGCCAGACACCUACGGGUGCUGCAGUCAAGAAUCUUCGGCAAUGGACGCAAGUCUGACCGAGCGACGCCGCGUGCGGGAUGAAGGCCUUCGGGUUGUAAACCGCUGUCAGAGGGGAUGGAA
rnacentral:rRNA from 1 species